GAACCUUGUCUCAAAGAUUAAGCCAUGCAUGUCUAAGUAUAAGCAAUUAUACAGCGAAACUGCGAAUGGCUCAUUAUAUAAGUUAUCGUUUAUUUGAUAGUACCUUACUACUUGGAUAACCGUGGUAAUUCUAGAGCUAAUACAUGCUAAAAAUCCCGACUUCGGAAGGGAUGUGUUUAUUAGAUUAAAAACCAAUGCCCUCCGGGGCUCCUUGGUGAUUCAUGAUAACUAUUCGAAUCGCAUGGCCUUGCGCCGGCGAUGGUUCAUUCAAAUUUCUUCCCUAUCAACUUUCGAUGUUUGGGUAUUGGCCAAACAUGGUUGCAACGGGUAACGGAGGGUUAGGGCUCGACCCCGGAGAAGGAGCCUGAGAAACGGCUACUACAUCCAAGGAAGGCAGCAGGCGCGCAAAUUACCCAAUCCCGACUCGGGGAGGUAGUGACAAUAAAUACUGAUACAGGGCUCUUUUGGGUCUUGUAAUUGGAAUGAGUACAAUUUAAAUCUCUUAACGAGGAACAAUUGGAGGGCAAGUCUGGUGCCAGCAGCCGCGGUAAUUCCAGCUCCAAUAGCGUAUAUUAAAGUUGUUGUGGUUAAAAAGCUCGAAAGUUGAAC
rnacentral:rRNA from 1 species